GACCUCCAUAGGAAACAAUGGCGGACGUUUUUUCAGGCUACUUCCGCGUUAUGGAGAGCUCAACAGUUCUUAACAGUGACAUUCGCGGAGUUUGCCUCAUUCACUUCCAUUGGAGUCUGCCUAACUUUGUCAGCGAUGCUGAAAGUGAUGUGACAAGACAUUGUCUUCAAUUAAGUGGUCCUUGACCAAGGAUGCAGAGGACAAGACGGGUGUGUAGUAUUGACUGAAAUUAUCAGAGAAGGUCAUUUUUUAUGGUUUAGGUCCAAACGAAGGGACCCGUCCAACCUCAGCAUCUCCAACACCUCCUGUCACACCUCCAGCCAA